rnacentral:rRNA from 1 species
UGACGCAGCAACGCCGCGUGUGGGAAGAAGGCUUUCNGGUUGUAAACCACUUUUGCCCGGGACGAAAGGGGGGACCUGAAUAAGGUUGCCCGAUGACGGUACCGGGAGAAUAAGCCACGGCUAACUCUGUGCCAGCAGCCGCGGUAAGACAGAGGUGGCAAGCGUUGUUCGGAGUUACUGGGCGUAAAGAGUCUGUAGGUGGUCUGUCAAGUCUUUGGUGAAAGGCCGUGGCUUAACCAUGGGAAUGCCAAAGAGACUGGCAGACUGGAGGCUGGGAGAGGGAAGCGGAAUUUCUGGUGUAGCGGUGAAAUGCGUAGAUAUCAGAAGGAAGGCCGGUGGCGAAGGCGGCUUCCUGGAACAGACCUGACACUGAGAGACGAAAGCGUGGGGAGCAAACAGGAUUAGAUACCCUGGUAGUCCACGCCCUAAACGAUGGGUACUAAGUGUGGGAGGGUUAAACCUCCCGUGCCGCAGCCAACGCAGUAAGUACCCCGCCUGGGGAGUACGGCCGCAAGGUUGAAAC